GGCGGUGUAGCUCAGCCUGGCAGAGCAGGAGAAUCAUAAUCUCUUGGUCAGGGGUUCAACUCCCUUCGCCGCCA
rnacentral:tRNA from 1 species